UACGUAGGGAUCGAGCGUUGUCCGGAAUCAUUGGGCGUAAAGCGCGUGUAGGCGGUCCGGUAAGUCCGCUGUGAAAGUCGAGGGCUCAACCCUCGAAUGCCGGUGGAUACUGUCGGGCUUGAGUACGGGAGAGGCGAGUGGAAUUCCUGGUGUAGCGGUGAAAUGCGCAGAUAUCAGGAGGAACACCGAUUGCGAAGGCAGCUCGCUGGAACGUUACUGACGCUGAGACGCGAAAGCGUGGGGAGCAAACAGG
rnacentral:rRNA from 1 species